rnacentral:rRNA from 1 species
GAUGAACGCUGGCGGCGUGCUUAACACAUGCAAGUCGAACGAGAAGUGAAGACGGAACCCUUCGGGCGGAAGGCUUUAUUUCGAGUGGCGGACGGGUGAGUAACGCGUGGGUAACCUGCCUCAUACAGGGGGAUAACAGUUGGAAACGACUGUUAAUACCGCAUAAGACCACAGCACCGCAUGGUGCGGGGGUAAAAACUCCGGUGGUAUGAGAUGGACCCGCGUUCGAUUAGCCAGUUGGCGGGGUAACGGCCCACCAAAGCGACGAUCGAUAGCCGAUCUGAGAGGAUGACCGGACACAUUGGGACUGAGACACGGCCCAAACUCCUACGGGAGGCAGCAGUGGGGAAUAUUGCACAAUGGGGGAAACCCUGAUGCAGCGACGCCGCGUGAGUGAAGAAGUAUUUCGGUAUGUAAAGCUCUAUCAGCAGGGAAGAAAAUGACGGUACCUGAGUAAGAAGCCCCGGCUAACUACGUG